rnacentral:pre_miRNA from 1 species
UUAACUGAAAUUCGUAUGGACUUGGAGCGUUUGCCUAGGUUUGCCGCUAGGGGCGCUGUUCCACCUGCAUAAAAAAUCGAGUAA